UCAAGUGAAGAAGCGCAUACGGUGGAUGCCUUGGCAGUCAGAGGCGAUGAAAGACGUGGUAGCCUGCGAAAAGCUUCGGGGAGUCGGCAAACAGACUGUGAUCCGGAGAUGUCUGAAUGGGGGAACCCAGCCAUCAUAAGAUGGUUAUCUUGUACUGAAUACAUAGGUGCAAGAGGCGAACCAGGGGAACUGAAACAUCUAAGUACCCUGAGGAAAAGAAAUCAACCGAGAUUCCCUUAGUAGUGGCGAGCGAACGGGGACCAGCCCUUAAGUUGUAUUGAGAUUAGCGGAACACUCUGGAAAGGGUGGCCAUAGUGGGUGAUAGCCCUGUACGCGAAAAUCCCUUUGCAAUGAAAUCGAGUAGGACGGGGCACGAGAAACCUUGUCUGAAUAUGGGGGGACCAUCCUCCAAGGCUAAAUACUACUGACUGACCGAUAGUGAACCAGUACCGUGAGGGAAAGGCGAAAAGAACCGCGGAGAGCGGAGUGAAAUAGAUCCUGAAACCGUAUGCGUACAAGCAGUGGGAGCCCACUUUGUUGGGUGACUGCGUACCUUUUGUAUAAUGGGUCAGCGACUUAUUUUCAGUGGCGAGCUUAACCGAAUAGGGGAGGCGUAGCGAAAGCGAGUCUUAAUAGGGCGUCUAGUCGCUGGGAAUAGACCCGAAACCGGGCGAUCUAUCCAUGGGCAGGUUGAAGGUUGGGUAACACUAACUGGAGGACCGAACCGACUACCGUUGAAAAGUUAGCGGAUGACCUGUGGAUCGGAGUGAAAGGCUAAUCAAGCUCGGAGAUAGCUGGUUCUCCUCGAAAGCUAUUUAGGUAGCGCCUCAUGUAUCACUGUAGGGGGUAGAGCACUGUUUCGGCUAGGGGGUCAUCCCGACUUACCAAACCGAUGCAAACUCCGAAUACCUACAAGUGCCGAGCAUGGGAGACACACGGCGGGUGCUAACGUCCGUCGUGAAAAGGGAAACAACCCAGACCGUCAGCUAAGGUCCCAAAGUCAUGGUUAAGUGGGAAACGAUGUGGGAAGGCUUAGACAGCUAGGAGGUUGGCUUAGAAGCAGCCACCCUUUAAAGAAAGCGUAAUAGCUCACUAGUCGAGUCGGCCUGCGCGGAAGAUGUAACGGGGCUCAAACCAUGCACCGAAGCUACGGGUAUCAUCUUAGGAUGAUGCGGUAGAGGAGCGUUCUGUAAGCCUGUGAAGGUGAGUUGAGAAGCUUGCUGGAGGUAUCAGAAGUGCGAAUGCUGACAUGAGUAACGACAAUGGGUGUGAAAAACACCCACGCCGAAAGACCAAGGUUUCCUGCGCAACGUUAAUCGACGCAGGGUUAGUCGGUCCCUAAGGCGAGGCUGAAAAGCGUAGUCGAUGGAAAACAGGUUAAUAUUCCUGUACUUCUGGUUAUUGCGAUGGAGGGACGGAGAAGGCUAGGCCAGCCUGGCGUUGGUAGUCCAGGUUUAAGGUGGUAGGCUGAGAUCUUAGGUAAAUCCGGGAUCUUAAGGCCGAGAGCUGAUGACGAGUGUUCUUUAGAACACGAAGUGGUUGAUGCCAUGCUUCCAAGAAAAGCUUCUAAGCUUCAGGUAACCAGGAACCGUACCCCAAACCGACACAGGUGGUUGGGUAGAGAAUACCAAGGCGCUUGAGAGAACUCGGGUGAAGGAACUAGGCAAAAUGGCACCGUAACUUCGGGAGAAGGUGCGCCGGUGGAGGUGAAGCAUUUACUGCGUAAGCCCCUGCCGGUCGAAGAUACCAGGCCGCUGCGACUGUUUAUUAAAAACACAGCACUCUGCAAACACGAAAGUGGACGUAUAGGGUGUGACGCCUGCCCGGUGCCGGAAGGUUAAUUGAUGGGGUUAGCGCAAGCGAAGCUCUUGAUCGAAGCCCCGGUAAACGGCGGCCGUAACUAUAACGGUCCUAAGGUAGCGAAAUUCCUUGUCGGGUAAGUUCCGACCUGCACGAAUGGCGUAACGAUGGCGGCGCUGUCUCCACCCGAGACUCAGUGAAAUUGAAAUCGCUGUGAAGAUGCAGUGUAUCCGCGGCUAGACGGAAAGACCCCGUGAACCUUUACUAUAGCUUUGCACUGGACUUUGAAUUUGCUUGUGUAGGAUAGGUGGGAGGCUUUGAAGCGUGGACGCCAGUCUGCGUGGAGCCAACCUUGAAAUACCACCCUGGCAACUUUGAGGUUCUAACUCAGGUCCGUUAUCCGGAUCGAGGACAGUGUAUGGUGGGUAGUUUGACUGGGGCGGUCUCCUCCUAAAGAGUAACGGAGGAGUACGAAGGUGCGCUCAGACCGGUCGGAAAUCGGUCGUAGAGUAUAAAGGCAAAAGCGCGCUUGACUGCGAGACAGACACGUCGAGCAGGUACGAAAGUAGGUCUUAGUGAUCCGGUGGUUCUGUAUGGAAGGGCCAUCGCUCAACGGAUAAAAGGUACUCCGGGGAUAACAGGCUGAUACCGCCCAAGAGUUCAUAUCGACGGCGGUGUUUGGCACCUCGAUGUCGGCUCAUCACAUCCUGGGGCUGAAGCCGGUCCCAAGGGUAUGGCUGUUCGCCAUUUAAAGUGGUACGCGAGCUGGGUUUAGAACGUCGUGAGACAGUUCGGUCCCUAUCUGCCGUGGACGUUUGAGAUUUGAGAGGGGCUGCUCCUAGUACGAGAGGACCGGAGUGGACGAACCUCUGGUGUUCCGGUUGUCACGCCAGUGGCAUUGCCGGGUAGCUAUGUUCGGAAAAGAUAACCGCUGAAAGCAUCUAAGCGGGAAACUUGCCUCAAGAUGAGAUCUCACUGGAACCUUGAGUUCCCUAAAGGGCCGUCGAAGACUACGACGUUGAUAGGUUGGGUGUGUAAGCGCUGUGAGGCGUUGAGCUAACCAAUACUAAUUGCCCGUGAGGCUUGACCAU
rnacentral:rRNA from 1 species